AAAUUGAAGAGUUUGAUCAUGGCUCAGAUUGAACGCUGGCGGCAGGCCUAACACAUGCAAGUCGAACGGUAACAGGAAGAAGCUUGCUUCUUUGCUGACGAGUGGCGGACGGGUGAGUAAUGUCUGGGAAACUGCCUGAUGGAGGGGGAUAACUACUGGAAACGGUAGCUAAUACCGCAUAACGUCGCAAGACCAAAGAGGGGGACCUUCGGGCCUCUUGCCAUCGGAUGUGCCCAGAUGGGAUUAGCUAGUAGGUGGGGUAACGGCUCACCUAGGCGACGAUCCCUAGCUGGUCUGAGAGGAUGACCAGCCACACUGGAACUGAGACACGGUCCAGACUCCUACGGGAGGCAGCAGUGGGGAAUAUUGCACAAUGGGCGCAAGCCUGAUGCAGCCAUGCCGCGUGUAUGAAGAAGGCCUUCGGGUUGUAAAGUACUUUCAGCGGGGAGGAAGGGAGUAAAGUUAAUACCUUUGCUCAUUGACGUUACCCGCAGAAGAAGCACCGGCUAACUCCGUGCCAGCAGCCGCGGUAAUACGGAGGGUGCAAGCGUUAAUCGGAAUUACUGGGCGUAAAGCGCACGCAGGCGGUUUGUUAAGUCAGAUGUGAAAUCCCCGGGCUCAACCUGGGAACUGCAUCUGAUACUGGCAAGCUUGAGUCUCGUAGAGGGGGGUAGAAUUCCAGGUGUAGCGGUGAAAUGCGUAGAGAUCUGGAGGAAUACCGGUGGCGAAGGCAGCCCCCUGGACGAAGACUGACGCUCAGGUGCGAAAGCGUGGGGAGCAAACAGGAUUAGAUACCCUGGUAGUCCACGCCGUAAACGAUGUCGACUUGGAGGUUGUGCCCUUGAGGCGUGGCUUCCGGAGCUAACGCGUUAAGUCGACCGCCUGGGAGUACGGCCGCAAGGUUAAAACUCAAAUGAAUUGACGGGGGCCCGCACAAGCGGUGGAGCAUGUGGUUUAAUUCGAUGCAACGCGAAGAACCUUACCUGGUCUUGACAUCCACGGAAGUUUUCAGAGAUGAGAAUGUGCCUUCGGGAACCGUGAGACAGGUGCUGCAUGGCUGUCGUCAGCUCGUGUUGUGAAAUGUUGGGUUAAGUCCCGCAACGAGCGCAACCCUUAUCCUUUGUUGCCAGCGGUCCGGCCGGGAACUCAAAGGAGACUGCCAGUGAUAAACUGGAGGGAAGGUGGGGAUGACGUCAAGUCAUCAUGGCCCUUACGACCAGGGCUACACACGUGCUACAAUGGCGCAUACAAAGAGAAGCGACCUCGCGAGAGCAAGCGGACCUCAUAAAGUGCGUCGUAGUCCGGAUUGGAGUCUGCAACUCGACUCCAUGAAGUCGGAAUCGCUAGUAAUCGUGGAUCAGAAUGCCACGGUGAAUACGUUCCCGGGCCUUGUACACACCGCCCGUCACACCAUGGGAGUGAGUUGCAAAAGAAGUAGGUAGCUUAACCUUCGGGAGGGCGCUUACCACUUUGUGAUUCAUGACUGGGGUGAAGUCGUAACAAGGUAACCGUAGGGGAACCUGCGGUUGGAUCACCUCCUUA
rnacentral:rRNA from 1 species